rnacentral:tRNA from 1 species
GGGCCUGUGGUGUAGUCUGGACCAACACGUCACCCUGUCACGGUGAAGACCGCCGGUUCGAAUCCGGUCAGGCCCG